CCUACGGGAGGCAGCAGUGAGGAAUAUUGGUCAAUGGACGAGAGUCUGAACCAGCCAAGUAGCGUGAAGGAUGACUGCCCUAUGGGUUGUAAACUUCUUUUAUAUGGGAAUAAAAUGUUCCACGUGUGGGAUUUUGUAUGUACCAUAUGAAUAAGGAUCGGCUAACUCCGUGCCAGCAGCCGCGGUAAUACGGCGGAUCCGAGCGUUAUCCGGAUUUCUUGGGUUUAAAGGGAGCGUAGGUGGAUUGUUAAGUCAGUUGUGAAAGUUUGCGGCUCAACCGUAAAAUUGCAGUUGAAACUGGCAGUCUUGAGUACAGUAGAGGUGGGCGGAAUUCGUGGGGUAGCGGUGAAAUGCUUAGAGAUCACGAAGAACUCCGAUUGCGAAGGCAGCUCACUGGACUGCAACUGACACUGAGGCUCGAAAGUGUGGGUAUCAAACAGGAUGAGAUACCCGAGUAGUC
rnacentral:rRNA from 1 species